CCAAUAGCGUAUAUUAAAGUUGUUGCAGUUAAAAAGCUCGUAGUUGAAUUUUGGGCCUGGACGGACGGUCCACCUUCCGGUGAGCACUGAUCCGGAGCCGGGCCUAUCCUUCUGGUGAGACGGCAUGCCCUUUGUUGGGUGUGUUGGGGAACCAGGACCAUUACCUUGAAAAAAUUAGAGUGUUCAAAGCAGGCAUUUGCUCGAAUACAUUAGCAUUGAAUAAUGAAAUAGGACGCGUGGUACUAUUUUGUUGGUUUCUAGGACCGCCGUAAUGAUUAAUAGGGAUAGUUGGGGGCAUUAGUAUUCAAUUGUCAGAGGUGAAAUUCUUGGAUUUAUUGAAGACUAACUUCUGCGAAAGCAUUUGCCAAGGAUGUUUUCAUUAAUCAAGAACGAAAGUUAGGGGAUCGAAGACGAUCAGAUACCGUCGUAGUCUUAACCAUAAACUAUGCCGACUAGGAAUCGGGCGAUGUUAAUUUAACGACACGCCCGGCGCCUUAUG
rnacentral:rRNA from 1 species